CCCAGACUCCUACGGGAGGCAGCAGUGGGGAAUAUUGGGCAAUGGGCGCAAGCCUGACCCAGCAACGCCGCGUGAAGGAAGAAGGCUUUCGGGUUGUAAACUUCCUUUGUCAGGGACGAAGCAAGUGACGGUACCUGACGAAUAAGCCACGGCUAACUACGUGCCAGCAGCCGCGGUAAUACGUAGGUGGCAAGCGUUAUCCGGAUUUAUUGGGUGUAAAGGGCGUGUAGGCGGGAAUGCAAGUCAGAUGUGAAAACUAUGGGCUCAACCCAUAGCCUGCAUUUGAAACUGUAUUUCUUGAGUGCUGGAGAGGCAAUCGGAAUUCCGUGUGUAGCGGUGAAAUGCGUAGAGAUUAGGAAGAACACCAGUGGCGAAGGCGAUUCUCUGGACUGUAACUGACGCUGAGGCUCGAAAGCGUGGGGAGCAAACAGGAUUAGAUACCCUUGUAA
rnacentral:rRNA from 1 species